UCAGAUUAUCAAUAUGGGUUUGAUAGCCAGAUAGCAAAACAGCCAUGGUCUGCACAGCUCAUUUUCUGUUUUCAAGGAUUCCUUGUUCGAAAAGUAAUGACAAGAAGAACAUAAGCAGUUUUAAUUCCAAAAAGAAAGCUUUGGCCAAGAAGUAAAACAAUAUUCUUUUAUUCCAAGACUUUUUUGUUCUAUAACCAGGACCACAUGGCAGAAGUAUCUAAGAUGGAGACUCCAUAAUAACUCCCACUCCAACAAAAACAAAAGAAAAUGAGGACAACCAGAUACAGUCCGAGAGAAGCAGCAACAGCAGUAUCGGAAGAAGAGAAAACGGUACUGCUUUUACAAAGACUCUUGAGACCGUAAGGAAUAAUGAUGGAUUAUGUUCCUAAUUUAUCUGGAAUUUCAUUAACUGAUCUUGAAAUCUCAGUUUUGAAUUGUGCUUUAAAAUAUAUCCCAACUGUUAUACCUAGAUUAUAUGUAUUGCAAACAGAAAUGUUUUGUUUUAGUAGGAAGCUGCAUUUGAUAUGGUGCAUGUGCAAAUAAUGAUUUUUCAAAGGUUUCAGCUUGUAAUGAGCUAAGGGAUGAUUCUGAAGAUGAAAGUACAUAUACUUUUUUCUCUUGUAACUCAUUUUGUGAAUUAGACAGUGAGGAAAAUGCAUAUUGUUUUUGAAUACCACUAAUAUUGUGCAUAAAAGUAAAUAUAUUCCUCCCUUUACUAGUGAGACUAUUAAGCAAUUUUCUUGUAUGGUAAAUGUUUUUCUAGAAAAAGCUUUUGCUGAAUUUAUGAAUGAAAAGAAAAGAAGUGGAGUUAGAUGUAACUUAACCAAAAAUGAAUAAAUGGCACUUAAACAAAUGAGUGAGAGAAGGGAUGUUAUUUUUAAACCUUCCGAUAAAGGCAAUAACAUUGUAGCGAUAAGUUGUUCUCAAUAUUUAGAAAUGUGUUAUGAAAAUCUUAAUAAUCAGGAGGUAUAUACAGAAGUUAGUUGGGUGGAUUAUGAAACAUCACUUGUGAUUUUUGAUAAUUUGAUACAUAAGGGUUACAGGCUGGGGUAUUUUUCUUUGAAUGAUGUGGAGACAAAGUUUUCCACAAAGGGCUAUACUAUGGCAAGUUUUUAUUGCCUUCCUAAGGUGCACAAAAGUUUAUUAGACCCUCCUGGUCAUCCAGUUAUAUCUGCCUGUAACUAUUUUUUGCAUAAUGUGGGUAUUUUACUACAUGACCAAUUAUUACCAUUGCUCAAGAAAUUACCCUCCUAUAUAAAGGACACCUUUGAUUUUUUGGAUAAAGUUAGAUAUGUUGACUGGACAAGUUCUAAAUACUGGAUAGUUAUAGAUGUUCAAAGUCUAUAUACUAGUAUUCAACAUCAGUUUGGGUUAGAAGCCCUGAAAUAUUGGGGGGAGCUAGUCCAUUGUCAUAUUAUCUAAUUGACUUAGUGCAUUUUUAUCUUACUAACAACUUUUUCCAAUUUAAUGGCACUUUGUAUCAUCGGAUUAAAGACAUCGUUUGCCCACAUGCAUGACAAUCUAUUUAUGGGCCUAUUUGACAUGGAAUAUCUUUAUAAAAUGGAAUUUUUUCAGAAGCAUGUCAUAAAGUAGUAUCGCUUUAUAGAUAAUUUGGUUUUAUGUGAAGGAGGGCGAACUUUGGUAGAGCCUUUUAUUGGUGAAUUUCAUAUGAAUAGGUUUGGUUUAGCCUUUGACGGGCUACAUUGUGGAGAAAAUGUUUUUCUAGAUGUGGAAUUAAGGGGUGAAAAUGGAGCGUUAAUUAAGACUGGAAUUCACAGGAAAUUUGAUAAUAUUAGCCAUUAUAUGGAUGGUAGAUGCUGUCAUCCACCCAUUUGAUUAAAGCUUUGCCCUACAAUGAGUUGUUACGUAUUAGUAGGUUGUGUAAUGAUAAAGACAAUCUUACUCAAGAGUUAAUUAAAACUUGUGAGAUGUUUAGACAAAGGGGAUAUAUAAAGUGCAUUCUAUUCAGACAGCUAUUAAUCGUUUAAAUCAACAUUAUGUUCCUUUAGUACCUGAUAAAAUAAGAGUAGAUUAUUUAAAAAAGUAAUGUGUGAGGGCAAUGAAUUAGCUCAAAAAGUGUUUUUUUGUGACAACGUAUAAUUUAUUUGCUGAAAAGGUGGUGGAUACUAUUAUGUUCUAUUAAACUUUUUUACCACAAGAUAAAAAAAUCUCUAUGAACGUCUGCCUCAAAAAGACCUGUGGUUUCUUUUAAUAGAGGCAGAAGUGUUAGAGAUAUGAUUGUACAUGUUCAGUUUGCAACCCCUAUACAGUCAUUAGAUGUACAACUUCUUAAUUUUGCAGUGAAACCAUGUGGACACUGUUUAAUUUGUAAAUUUACUGUACCAACUUUUAAUUUUAUAAAUAAUAAGGUGUUUAAGUCAUGUGAUGUUUUCAGUGUUGUGAUACAGAAGGAGUUGUUUAUGUUUUAAAAUGUGAAUCCAAUUUGUUCUAUGUACAUGAAACUAAAUGGAGUUUCCGAAUUAGGUUUCAAGAACAUCUAAAAGACAUUAAAAAUAAGACGAUAGAAAGUCCUUUAGCAGUGGAUCUUGGUACGUCAUUAUGGUAAUAGUAGUGGUUUAAGAGGUACUAUUUUAGACAGGGUGAAAAUUUCUCCAGGUAUGUCUUUAAAAAGUAAACUGCUCUACAAGGAAGCAGUCUUUAUUUUAAAAUUUGGAACACUGUUCCCUAAAGGUCUUAAUAAGGAAUAAAACUGGAAAUUAUUGUAAUCGUGUUCAACUGUGUUAAUUACUGUUGAUUGGUAUAAAAGUAUGCAUUGUGGGUAUAUUUUGUUAACUCUAUCAAAGGCUUUAUGUCCGAGGCACUAGAGGAGUGAUAAGCUUCUUUUAAUAAAUAUUUUCUACUGG